rnacentral:rRNA from 1 species
CCUACGGGAGGCAGCAGUAAGGAAUAUUGGUCAAUGGACGGAAGUCUGAACCAGCCAUGCCGCGUGCAGGAAGACGGCCCUAUGGGUUGUAAACUGCUUUUGCAGGGGAAUAAACCUCGAUACGUGUAUCGAGCUGAAUGUACUCUGAGAAUAAGGAUCGGCUAACUCCGUGCCAGCAGCCGCGGUAAUACGGAGGAUCCAAGCGUUAUCCGGAUUUAUUGGGUUUAAAGGGUGCGUAGGUGGCCUGUUAAGUCAGGGGUGAAAGACGGUAGCUUAACUAUCGCAGUGCCCUUGAUACUGAUGGGCUUGAAUAAACUAGAGGUAGGCGGAAUGUGACAAGUAGCGGUGAAAUGCAUAGAUAUGUCACAGAACACCAAUUGCGAAGGCAGCUUACUAUGGUUUUAUUGACACUGAGGCACGAAAGCGUGGGGAUCAAACAGGAUUAGAUACCCUGGUAGUCCACGCCCUAAACGAUGAAUACUCGAUGUUGGCGAUAUACGGUCAGCGUCUAAGCGAAAGCGUUAAGUAUUCCACCUGGGGAGUACGCCCGCAAGGGUUGAAACUCAAAGGAAAUUGACGGCGNGAGAGNGCGAGACGACGACGAGGAGGAGG